GUUUGUGAUGAUGCAAUCUACCCGCGGCUAGACGGAAAGACCCCAUGAACCUUUACUGUAGCUUUGCAUUGGACUUUGAAUCAAUCUGUGUAGGAUAGGUGGGAGGCUUUGAAGUAGGGACGCCAGUCUCUAUGGAGCCAUCCUUGAAAUACCACCCUGGUUCAUUUGAGGUUCUAACCUUGGUCCGUUAUCCGGAUCGGGGACAGUGCAUGGUAGGCAGUUUGACUGGGGCGGUCUCCUCCUAAAGUGUAACGGA
rnacentral:rRNA from 1 species